rnacentral:rRNA from 1 species
GACGAACGCUGGCGGCGUGCUUAACACAUGCAAGUCGAACGGAAAGGCCCUGCUUUUGUGGGGUGCUCGAGUGGCGAACGGGUGAGUAACACGUGAGUAACCUGCCCUUGACUUUCGGAUAACUUCAGGAAACUGGGGCUAAUACCGGAUAGGAGCUCCUGCUGCAUGGUGGGGGUUGGAAAGUUUCGGCGGUUGGGGAUGGACUCGCGGCUUAUCAGCUUGUUGGUGGGGUAGUGGCUUACCAAGGCUUUGACGGGUAGCCGGCCUGAGAGGGUGACCGGCCACAUUGGGACUGAGAUACGGCCCAGACUCCUACGGGAGGCAGCAGUGAGGAAUAUUGCACAAUGGGCGGAAGCCUGAUGCAGCAACGCCGCGUGCGGGAUGACGGCCUUCGGGUUGUAAACCGCUUUCGCCUGUGACGAAGCGUGAGUGACGGUAAUGGGUAAAGAAGCACCGGCUAACUACGUG